rnacentral:rRNA from 1 species
UACGGAGGGUGCAAGCGUUAUCCGGAUUCACUGGGUUUAAAGGGUGCGUAGGUGGGUUGAUAAGUCAGUGGUGAAAUCCCCGAGCUUAACUUGGGAACUGCCAUUGAUACUAUUGAUCUUGAAUACCGUGGAGGUCAGCGGAAUAUGUCAUGUAGCGGUGAAAUGCUUAGAUAUGACAUAGAACGCCAAUUGCGAAGGCAGCUGGCUACGCGAAUAUUGACACUGAUGCACGAAAGCGUGGGGAUCAAACAGG